CCUACGGGAGGCAGCAGUGAGGAAUAUUGGUCAAUGGACGAGAGUCUGAACCAGCCAAGUAGCGUGAAGGAUGACUGCCCUAUGGGUUGUAAACUUCUUUUAUAUGGGAAUAAAAUGUUCCACUUGUGUGAUUUUGUAUGUACCAUAUGCAUAAGGCUCGUCUAACUCCGUGCCAGCAGCCGCGGUAAUACGGAGGCUCCGAGCGUUAUCCGUAUUUCUUGGGUUUAAAGGGUGCGUAGGUGGAUUGUUAAGUUCGUUGUGAAAGUUUUGUGCUCAACCGUAAAAUGGCAGUUGAAACUGGCAGUCUUGAGUACAGUAGAGGUGGGCGGAAUUCGUGGUGUAGCGGUGAAAUGCUUAGAUAGCACGAAGAACUCCGAUUGCGAAGGCAGCUCACUGGACUGCAACUGACACUGAGGCUCGAAAGUGUGGGUAUCAAACAGGAUUAGAUACCCCUGUAGUC
rnacentral:rRNA from 1 species